ACUCCUACGGGAGGCAGCAGUGGGGAAUAUUGCACAAUGGGCGCAAGCCUGAUGCAGCGACGCCGCGUGGGGGAUGACGGCCUUCGGGUUGUAAACCCCUUUCAGCACAGACGAAGCGCAAGUGACGGUAUGUGCAGAAGAAGCACCGGCCAACUACGUGCCAGCAGCCGCGGUAAUACGUAGGGUGCGAGCGUUGUCCGGAAUUACUGGGCGUAAAGAGCUCGUAGGUGGUUUGUCGCGUUGUCCGUGAAAACUCACAGCUUAACUGUGGGCGUGCGGGCGAUACGGGCAGACUGGAGUACUGCAGGGGAGACUGGAAUUCCUGGUGUAGCGGUGGAAUGCGCAGAUAUCAGGAGGAACACCGGUGGCGAAGGCGGGUCUCUGGGCAGUAACUGACGCUGAGGAGCGAAAGCGUGGGGAGCGAACAGGAUUAGAUACCCUGGUAGUCCACGCCGUAAACGGUGGGUACUAGGUGUGGGUUUCCUUCCUUGGGAUCCGUGCCGUAGCUAACGCAUUAAGUACCCCGCCUGGGGAGUACGGCCGCAAGGCUAAAACUCAAAGAAAUUGACGGGGGCCCGCACAAGCGGCGGAGCAUGUGGAUUAAUUCGAUGCAACGCGAAGAACCUUACCUGGGUUUGACAUGCACAGGACGCUGGUAGAGAUAUCAGUUCCCUUGUGGCCUGUGUGCAGGUGGUGCAUGGCUGUCGUCAGCUCGUGUCGUGAGAUGUUGGGUUAAGUCCCGCAACGAGCGCAACCCCUAUCUUAUGUUGCCAGCGCGUUAUGGCGGGGACUCGUAAGAGACUGCCGGGGUCAACUCGGA
rnacentral:rRNA from 1 species